GAGGAGAGACCCGAGGCGGCCGCCGGUCUGAGUGUCAGGUGAACUGAACUUCAGGACAGUUAGCAUGCAGUCUGGAGCAGCCAGGGAUCGACCCAAAAACCAUCUGAUUAGUAGAUGACCUGCUCCACCUCCUGAGCCACAGCCGCCCCUUUUAGAGGUAAAGAAUCAAUUAGAAAGAGCUGGCGUCAUGUUGUGGAAGCUGCCAUCUUGCCCCACCAUCAUACGCUGGCUGAGAUGGGCAUCGCUGCUCCGCCUUUUCAUGUUUUAUGCAUUACGCUGACGGACGGAUGGAUGGACAAUGAAUGCUUUCUCGUCCUUCUUGUCAUGCACCAUGGAAGUGUCUGAGGGGCUUUUCCACUUGGAAUCGGGAUACUGUGUCCACACUUCAGAGGUGGAGUUUCCAGUAUCUCACCUGGGCCUCAUCUGCAAACAAUCAGCAGGAGGGCUUCUUAAACCAGCGCUGCCUGCUACUCCUCGCCAGUUUGUUCUGCCAUCUCCAGUGCUUCUCCAGUGGGACUGAAGCCAUCCAUCCCACCAGCCAGCGGCCCUUCGGGUGAGAGGAAGGGCCCCGUCGUCAUGGCGCCUGUCAACGUGGAGCCAGCCGGGCGAGUUUGUCCUAGAAAGCUUAUUUGCCAUCUUCACCUUGCUCUCUGAACGCAAGAGCUGUAUCAUCAUGGCUGAACCACUGGAGAAGCCGCUAAACAAAUCUCUGCAGAGGAGAAGAGCCACAGUUUGACCAGCUGAUCAGCUCUAUGAGUUCUCUUGCUGGGUACUGCCUGCCAUCCAUCCUGAAGACUCUGUUCGACUGGUACAAGAGGCAAAAUGGCCUGGAGGACGAGUCCCAUGAACAUCGACCCGGGGCCAAGUCAAAAAAGAGUCUCUGUUCUCCUCCUGACCUACCUGACUCUGGAGUAGUUCCUCGUCAUCGUUUUCCCUUUUAGCAAUUUGCGCCCAGGCAAACUUCAGACAGGGGUAAGUUGCACUAGUCAUAAUAAUGUGCCUGAUGAAGGUCAUCCAACUGUUGUCUUUGUCCACAAACUAAUUAUCGCUCUUAUUUUGAAGAAAGACUGGGUUUGUGCUGCUGGAAUAUCAUCUUUAGGUUGGUGUUUAAGUGGAUCAGAAAGUGUGG